UUGUGAAACUUCUCAUUCUUUCUAUUCUUUCUACCGUAGUCUCUCAACCCUAACCAAUUUUCAAUGCCGUUCGUCCCUGAUUCUUCAUCAGACUUCCAUCAUCAACAUCUUAAUUCGAAAAAUCAGUUCGUGUAAUAUGUUCGAUGAACGUGUUUACGAGAUUGAGCGUUUGAUUCUGAUUAUUUUAUGGUUUUAUAACAUGAAACAGUGGAGAUUUAAGGAAUUUUGGGGGUUUGAGAAGCUAGGGUUUGUGGUUUUGGUAAGCAUUUCAUCUUCAGAUCUGUUGUUGCUUUGGUUAAUCUAAUCUUGUGAAACUAUUUUAUGAAUUCUGGUUGCCUUGGCGGAGGAGGGUUUUCAACCAUUCAGACACCCUAGAGGCGGAGGAGGGUUUUGUUUUGUGGAUGGAGACAAUGAUUUUUGGCCGGUUGAUUUGAAGCAUCUGAUGAUGCUGGUUUUAGCACAGAUCUUCAUGUGGGUAAUCGUUAUAUACAUUUUUGUAUAUUUUUUGGUUUUGGGUCUUUAUAUUUUUUUAGGGUUCUAGAUAAAAUUAGGGCUUUUACUGUCAGAUAUAAAAAAAGAUAAAAAAUAAAUUAAAGCUUUGGUCAAGGGGUGUUCUUCGGUUUAGUUAAACGGGUUUCCAAAAAAUCAAAGCAAACCUGAUAACCAACCUGUAUCUUUAUUCGGUUGUUCAAGUUCAGGUUUAAUGGGUCGGGUAGAUUUUUAUAUGUAUCCCAGUGAGCUAAGGUAAUAACAAAUGAUGUCUAUUUUCCCUAGAAACUUCAUCUUUGGAUUGAUUGAGUUGUUCCCAGAUGGUCCAACAUAUUGUUCAAGAUGGUUGAAGAUCCUGUUAAUAGACCUGCUUUUGAAGUCAUAUUAGUGCAGGGAGUGUGUCCCAUCCAGGUCAAGCAUGCUGAUGGGGAGCGUGAAAGAAGCUGAAAAUGUACGAAAAUAAUAUGACGAGGCCAACAGAAAGUUAUCUAAACUAAAAUCAAGGAUAUCUCGCUUAACAAAGAAGCUAGCGCAUGAUUUUGGACCAGAGAAGGAAUUCUACUCGUGAUAUGGUCAAUGUUUUGAAAGCAAACAAAACAAAUAUGUUUACAAAGUUUGCCCUUUUAAACAAGCCACUCAGGAUGAAGGGUACAACACAAUGCGGUUGGGGUAAGUCAAAACACGUUGGGGUUGAAACGGGCUAUAUUUUUUAGUACAGGUGGAUGCAGGCCGGACUGGGUUGUGCUGGCCCAUUUAAAUUUGUUUAUAAGUUAAAAUAUAUAUAUACCUGAAUAUUCUAUCUUAUGAAUAUUAAUCUUCAUGCACUAAAUGUCACAAGGUGAUCGGAACGAGAUGUCAGAGAAUAUAUUUUCGUCGAACGGGUCAUUGCAGAGUGGGAUGUGUUUUUGUCAGUUACUCAGGUAUGGGUUGAUAUUUAAGCUUAUAGUAACAGUUUAAUUUAAGGUAAGAUGGAUGAUAGAUGUAGUCAUAGUUGUUAGACUCGGACAAGUCACGAGUCGACUCAAAACGAGUCAUAAUUUUAGAAGAUGAAACAUAUAUUAUAAACUCUGCUAAGAAGUAUGUGUAUGUGUGUCAAGAUUUAAUGGAGAAAACUGUGGUCCUUCCUUUAGAUACUGGACAGAAGAGAUAUAGUGCUUAAAAGUACGCUGAACUUGUGAUUUUGUGAGAUAGGAUCGCUCUUUCAUCUGUAUCAGGUACGGACAUUGUAGACUACGAACAUUGUAGACUACGAACAUUUAUAGACUGAUCUCUUUAUUUUCAUGGUUCAUUUGAAUACUUAAUUAUCAGCUAAGAGUUCAGCAAAUCUGAACAAAUGUCAUUUUUUUCUUAGGUUUGGAGGUUUUUCUUUAUAAUUUGUUUUUAUUUAUGUGUUCAGUAUAUUCUUUUGUGAGUUUAUGUAUGUUCUGUUGCUGAUUUUCAGCAGAGAAAAAGGCUAAGGCUAACGGGACUCUUGAUUCUGGCAUCUCUCAGCUAUCAGUAGCACAUACAUACGGCUUCAACCAACAGAAUUCACUUGCUAAGCCCUCACGAAACUAUUACCACUCUUUUUUUGGUGAAUUGGCCCUAAAUUGUUUAUCACCACAACGGCAAUUUUUAUUACCCAACCCAUACCCACAUCUUUUUAUCCAAUUACAUCGAUCUCAAUUAACACAAUAUCUUUCCCCUUUUCUCUUUAAAAUCCUAAAAGUGAAAUCACGAACUAUCCAGGUAUGUUUUCUUGAUCUUUCAUGAUGUAAUCUAAGAUUCCUUUGUUUUUUUCGCUUUACUUAUUUUUUAAUAUGUUAGUCGUUCAUAUAUUAGUAGAUUUGUCGAAUAGUUUUUGAUUUUGAAGUUUAAGAUCUUUAAAGUCGAAUCAUUCAUAACAUUAUUUAUAAAUAAUCAAUUGAGUUACUUUUGACUACAUUAACAUUAUACUUACAAUAUUAUCGUUUCUCCUAAUUUACAUAGAAGUGGAAAUAGCCAUGGUACAUCAUGCUUUGUGCUUCUACAGUCUAGAAACCACAAGGCAUAUAUCAAUGAUCAGUGUGAGUUGGUUUAUUAUGGUUGAAUAUUUUUUAGUUAUAGUUCUUAGUAAUGAUUUUAUUCAAUAUUAUAUGUAUCCUUGAUAAAUUGAAUACCUGUAGUGUUUUAAUGUCAAAUGGGUCAUAUAAAAAUGUUUGUGAGAAGGGAAAUAAGUAGGCUGGUGAAAUUGGUUAAGGUGGUUCAAAGCCGUUUUUUUGUCUCAAGCGGGUGAAAUAAUAAUAUUUGAAAAAGGGAUUUGUUGAAAUGGGCUGAACGAGUUGAAAGUACUUCAAAUUCUAUUUAAAAUGUUUGCAAACGUUUGUGUUGUUUGAUUUAAAGAUAUAGAUGAUCAUUGUACUUGUAUUGUUUCUUUAAUUGUACUAAUUAUGUUAAUUUUUUGAGAUAUCAACCACCAUUGCUAGCACGUCAGGUGGCGGUGGCAACUGAAUUUGAGUUUGAAGGAGGUUGGUGUCUCAGUUGUGGAUCGGUUCACAUUUUAUACAUUAGCUUUCUUUGAGAGGCUAAAUAUGUAUGACAAUGCAUCAUUAAGUAGACUUUUCAGCUCAUUUAACCCAAAUUUGUUGAUGUCAACCACAUAUUAUCGAACAGAUCUAUACCAAGAACAAGUAGAGAAGGUACCUGUGACAAAUUUCUUUGGUUCAGUCAUGAAAAUGAUCCACACAGAUUCUACUUACUGAGCAACCUCAGGUACAGACAGCAGCCGGGUCAAAUAUGAUGUGACAUCCGGUCAAUCAGAUGAUGUGGACGUUCGAAGAAUGACAAGUUCAGAUCCCGAGAAACAAGCUGAUCAUCCAGAUAUAAAAGGGUCUCUGGUUCCCCUUCAUAAAGAAAAUGAAACGGUUGGUCAAAGGUGGAGGCUGGCUCAUGCGAAUUGGUGGAAUGCCAUCGUUGAGAAGUUUCAAGGUAUUAAAAAUGGUGACAUGAUUGUGAAUUGCGGGCUUGCGGCUUGGUUGGAAUGUUGACUUUGGUGGUUGUUUCUACUUGGCAGUCAUCAUAAAGAUUGAGUUUGGAUGAGUUUUCCUUGGCUGACAUUUUGUCGAACACCUUCCAUGCGUGCCCAAAUUCAGGUUUUUUUUUUUUAAAUUCCAUUUGUUAAAUCAAAUAUUAAUAAUGUUGGGGUGAAGGAGGAUAAGAUGAUAGUAGAUAUAAGUGGUGACGAUGGAGAUAGUGAGGAGGAAGGGGAACCGGAAGAAGGUGUGAUUUAUUUGGAUGUGGAGGUUGUUGGUAAACAAGAAGGCGCAGGGGUGAUGUUGAGAAGCGGAUUAAUGUGAUAUUAUAUGUAUUGAUAGCCCUGGAAAACGGGUCGGGUCGAGUCGUAUCAUGGGUCAAAAUGGGUUCGGGUCCAAACGGGUUCGGGGCAAAACGGGUCAAUUAAAAAAGGUUUGUUUUGGUUCGGGUGGAAACGGGUUUGGGUCAACACGUGUUCGGGUUGGAAUGGGUUCGGGUCAGAACGGGUUUGAUGAUACACGAAAAAAUUAUUAAACUUACUCAAUGGGCUUAAACCCUAUAUAUACUCUGCAAAUUCCAUCGAAUGCAUUUUUAACAAGAUGUUGGUUGAUGAUUGAUACAAUUAUUGUGUUAUAUGAGGGCAAUUAGCUGCCUUGUGUUGUAAAGGUUAGUUUCAUAUCUUUUGGUAUACAUUGUUGCACAAGACAAAAUAUUUUACUUUUUUUUGUGAUUUUUAGGCAUUUGAUGCAUAGAGGUUUCUAAGGCAAAUGAUGAUGAUGAUUGGUACAAGAAUUUUAUCUAUGUUGUUGUAGUGAAAAUUUGUUCCUGUAAGUACUCAGAACAGAAAGAAAUUGAUCCCAAAGUGGCUGUAUUGUUAGAUGAUAGUACGAAUCGUGUUUUGGUUGAUGUUAAAGACUUGGAAGAGGAUUUUGUUGUGAAUGCAAACCUUCCGGAUAAUAAGUUUCAUUUGGCAAAAGAAUCAUUUGUUAAUUCGAAUUGUUAAGAAGAUGACAUUGUUCACAAUGUUGUUAGAGAAUUUGACAGUUGGAUGAACAAUUUGAUCUGGUGAAGUUUCCUGAUCUGAUUUCAUAAGAGAGCAACAAGGCAAAAUAAGGCGUUGACUGAAACGGUCAACAAGGCGAUCACUACUCCAACCGCGGCUGUGAAAGAUUUUAGAAGAGAGCAACAAGGCAAAAAAGAACAAAGUUAGUUCUAUGGAGUCAAUGGUUCUCUCGAUGACAUUUGGGUUCCGUAUAAUAUGGCGUCA